rnacentral:ncRNA from 1 species
UGUUAGAGUAUUGAGAGGACCUUUCCCUAGUACGAGAGGACCGAGAAGGAUGCACCUCUGGUGUACCAGUUAUCAUGCCCACGUCAAACGCUGGGUAGCCAAAUGCCGAGCGGAUAACUGCUGAAAGCAUCUAAGUAGUAAGCACACCCCAAGAUUAGUGCUCUCCUAUUCCGACUUCCCCAGAGCCUCUAGUAGCACAACCAAGACAGCGAUGGGUUCUCUGCCCCUGUGGGGAUGGAGCGACAGAAGUUUCGAGAAUCCAAGAAGGUCACGGCGAGACGAGCCGUUUAUCAUUACGAUAGGUGUCAAGUGGAAGUGCAAUGAUGUAUGCAGCUGAGGCAUCCCAACAGACCGU